UUCAGCCGGUGAAGCCAGAGAUUGGAUUC
rnacentral:piRNA from 1 species